rnacentral:lncRNA from 1 species
AAGUGUGGGAAAACAUUUAGUUACAAGUGGUUGUAUUUUGUAAUCUACUGAUUGUAAUCUGUAUAUAUCUGUAUCCCUAAAAUUGAGAAUUUGUAUCUCUAGAAUUAAAGACAGAAUAUCAGGAUAGACAAUUCCUUGAUUAUAGGGAUUAGAUUUAGGAAUAUUUAAUUUCUUAGUUUACUCUCCAGUUAGUUGUAUUUAAAUCUAUGGUGUUUGUAUGAUUCAAAUACAAGUUUUCAAUAUACUCUCAUUUUUCCACAUGGUAUCAGAGCUUUAGACUCUUCUUGGGAAGAAAAUUUCUCAGCCUUCAUUGCUGAAUUUUUAGGCCUUCAUAGCCAAAUUCUGUUAAGUCUAUCAUACUUUUAUUUUGUUCCUCUUUUUUUUUUGCCUUCAUUGCCUAUACUUGUUUCAGUCCUGAGAAAGGUAAUCAUGUCAGAAAUAGCAGAAUCUGCCGCUACUACUCGAUUUGGAGAAGUAACAACUGGCCAAACCACAGCGAAAUUACAGAAUAUCCAAGCUGCAUACAGGUUGAAUGGAAAGAACUACUUGAAGUGGUCUCAGUUGGUUCAAACCUUUCUAAAAGGGAAAGGAAAAUUGAGCCAUCUUCUUGGCACUGGUCCUGAGAAAGGAGAUCCAAAAUUUGAGGCUUGGGAUGAAGAGGAUUCUAUGGUUAUGUCAUGGCUGUGGAAUUCUAUGAUGCCAGAUAUUAGUGACACUUGUAUGUUUUUGUCCACGGCCAAAGACAUUUGGGAAUCAAUUCGUCAAACCUAUUCCGAAGUUAAAGAUGCUGCUCAAGUCUAUGAGGUCAAGAUCAAGACUGCAGCUCUCAAACAAGGGAAUAAGUCAGUCACAGAGUAUGCUAUUCUUCUUAAAAAUCUUUGGCAAGAGAUGGAUCACUACCGAUGCAUAGAAAUGAAGUGCAGUGAAGAUGCAACAACUUUGAAGAAAUUUAUUGAAAAAGAUCGAGUCUAUGAUUUUCUUGCUGGACUGAAUGUUGAGUUUGAUCAAGUCAGAGUCCAAAUUCUGGGAAAACAGGAUCUGCCCUCUUUAAAUGAAGUGAUAUCCAUGGUUAGAGCAGAAGAGAGCAAAAGAGGAGUGAUGCUUGACAGUGUGCAUGUAGAAGGAUCUGCUAUGGUCUCUAAUGGUGGGAAGAACCAAAGCUUAGAACAAUUACCAGUCAGUGAGAAUGGGAAGGGUGAUUCGGCUAAAACUUCAAAUCGCGACAAUCUUUGGUGCACCUAUUGCAAGAAGCCAAGGCACACCAGAGAUCGUUGCUGGAAACUACAUGGAAAACCUUCAACUUCAAGCAAAGAAUGGGGUUAUAAAGGAGGACAGCCAAGAAAUCAAGGACAAGCUAACAUGACUGCAAUGGAGUUAAACCAGGAGAAGUCUCAGGAACAAGGAGAGUUGGAUAAAAAAGAGAUUGAGAAACUGAAAAGCCUAUUGGGAACUCUUGAAAAGGCUACUGGUGUAUGCUCCUUGGCACACUCAGGUAAGGACUCUGGUGCAGGUAAAGUCUCUAAUUCUCAUGGAUUAAAUGUCUCAGAUAAGUCCAUUAAGAGUUCUUGGGUCAUUGACUCAGGAGCCACAGACCACAUGACACAUUCUUCACAAAAGUUUAGUACAUAUACCCUAUGUCCUGGUACUAAGAAAAUUACUGUUGCAGAUGGUUCACUUACUACAGUGGCAGGAUUAGGAGAUGUUCAAAUUAAUCCCUCAUUCAUUCUUAAAAAUGUUCUUCAUGUUCCUAGAUUGUCUACUAAUCUGAUAUCUAUACAAAGACUUACUAGAGACAUGAACUGCAAUGUGACUUUUUAUCCCUCUUACUGUGAAUUUCAGGACCAGGGUUCGGGGAAGAGGAUUGGACUUGCUAAGGAGAAGGAUGGACUAUACUAUCUUGAGACAUCCAACAACAUAAGUAAUAUUAAGAAUAGUUUACCUUUGUCAUUUCUUUCUGAACAAUCUUCCAAUAAAGACAAAAUCUGGCUUUAUCAUUUUCGUUUUGGACACCCUUUUUUUGGAACUUUGAAAAACAUGUUUCCUUUUUUGUUCAAAGGAUUAAACGUUGAAGAGUUUCAUUGUGAUGUUUGUGAACUUGCAAAACACAGACGUGUAUCUUUUCCAAUUAGUAACAAAAGAAGUUCUACUCCCUUUUACUUGAUUCAUAGUGACAUUUGGGGUCCCUCUACAGUUCCUAAUAUUUUUGGGGCAAGAUGGUUUGUGUCAUUCAUAGAUGAUUGUACCAGGGUUUCUUGGGUUUUUUUACUUAAAUCCAAAUCAGAUGUGAAUAGUGUGUUUUUUAGCUUCCAAAACAUGAUCCAAAAUCAAUUUGGAGUGAGAGUCAAGAGAUUUAGAUCUGAUAAUGCAAAAGACUAUUUCAACCAGAGUCUAUCCACCUAUUUCCAAAAUGAGGGGAUUAUUCAUGAGUCAUCUUGUGUUAAUACUCCACAGCAAAAUGGAGUGGCAGAGAGAAAAAACAGUCAUUUACUAGCCACAACCCGAGCCUUCCUUUUUCAAGCAAAUGUGCCCAAAUCUUACUGGGGGGAAGCUGUUCUCACUGCUACACACAUUAUAAAUAGGUUACCUUCAAGGGUUUUGGGAUUUAAAACUCCUAUGGAACUACUCUCACAAUUCUAUCCCAACCUUAAUACCACAAACAACCUCACACCUAGGAUAUUCGGUUGUACAUCAUUUGUUCAUGUUCACAGUCAUAAUAGGGGAAAGUUGGAUCCGAGAGCAAUUAAGUGUAUCUUUGUGGGGUAUUCAUCAACUCAGAAAGGGUAUAAGUGCUAUCAUCCUCCUACCAAAAAGUUCUAUGUGUCUGCAGAUGUCACUUUUGAAGAAAGUAAACCAUUUUUUAUUCAACCUUAUCUUCAGGGGGAGACAACAUUUAUAGAAGAUAAGGAUAAAGACUUCUUUUUGCUUGACUUGUCAUCCUCCUCCAAAACAGUUUCACCCAUUAAUUCUUUUGAACCUAAACCCAUUUCUUCAGAGUCCAAGUCAAACACUGAUUCUAAAUUUGAACCCAUUCCAAACACAGAAGUUGUGACUAAAGAUAAUACUAUUCUUGAUUCUGUGAAAGAAUUACAGGUGUACUCAAGAAAGAAAGUUCCAGCUCCUGAACCGGUGCAAAUCCAAGAACCUGAUCCUAACUCUGGAAAUGAGGUAAUUACAGUUUCUGAUUCUAUUUCUCAAAAUGAGCAUGACUCUCCUAAAAUUAGUGAUUAUGAUUUACCUAUUGCCAUUAGGAAAGGAACUAGAGAAUGUACUAAACAUCCAUUAUACCCAAUCUCUAAUUUUGUGUCAUUUGAAAAGUUUUCACCAUCUCAUAAAAAUUUUCUUGUGAGCCUAAACACUAUUUCUAUUCCAACUACAUUAUCUGAGGCAUUAUCCAAUGAGAAAUGGAGGCAGGCGAUGAAAACAGAAAUGGAGGCCUUAGAGAAAAAUAAGACAUGGAAACUGGUAGAGUUGCCUGCAGGAAAACAUCCAGUUGGGUGUAAAUUGGUUUUCACUGUAAAGUAUAAGGCAGAUGGUACUAUUGAAAGAUACAAGGCCAGGUUGGUGGCUAAGGGCUACACUCAAACUUAUGGAGUGGAUUAUCAGGAAACUUUUGCUCCAGUUGCCAAGAUGAAUACAGUUAGGAUUUUAUUAUCCUUGGCGGCAAAUUACAAUUGGCAGCUUCAACAAUUUGAUGUAAAGAAUGCCUUUUUACAUGGUGAUUUGGAAGAAGAAAUAUAUAUGAAAGUUCCACUGGGAUUUGGGGGUCAUCUAGAAGCACAAAAAGUAUGCAAGCUAAAAAAGGCUUUAUAUGGCCUUAAACAGUCUCCUAGGGCCUGGUUCGGGAGAUUUGCCAAAGUGAUGCUAGGAAUGAAAUAUAAACAGAGUCAAGGGGAUCACACACUGUUUAUCAAGCACUCAGAUUCGGGUAAGGUCACAAUUCUAUUAGUAUAUGUUGAUGAUAUAAUUGUAACUGGAGAUGAUGAAAAAGAAAGAGAGUCUCUAAAACAGUGUUUGGCCAGAGAAUUCGAGAUAAAAGAACUAGGGAGAUUGAAAUACUUCCUAGGAAUUGAAGUAGCCCACUCACGUCAUGGUAUUUUUAUCUCACAACAGAAAUAUGUGAUGGAUCUUUUGAAGGAAACUGGGAAGCUCGCAUGUAAACCUGCAAGUACCCCUAUAGAUCCUAAUCAUAAGCUUGGAGAAGCUAAUGAAGAUACUGUUGUAGAUAGGGAGAUGUACCAGAGAUUAGUUGGAAGACUUAUUUAUCUCUCACAUACUAGACCUGACAUAGCAUAUGCUGUGAGUGCGAUAAGUCAAUUUAUGCAUAGCCCUAAAGAAGUACACCUACAGGCUGUCUACCGUGUACUACACUAUUUGAAGGCCAAUCCUGGGAGAGGUAUCUUGUUUAAAAGAAAUUUAGGGUUGGUACUAAAGGCAUAUACAGAUGCUGAUUAUGCAGGUUCAGUAACUGACAGAAGAUCUACCUCAGGCUACUGCACUUUUCUAGGUGGUAAUCUUGUAACUUGGAGGAGUAAAAAACAGAAUGUGGUGGCAAGAUCAAGUGCUGAAGCAGAGUUUAGGGCAAUGGCUCAAGGAAUUUGUGAACUACUAUGGUUAAAGAUCAUUCUAGAAGAUUUGAAGAUCAAAUGGGAUGGACCAAUGAGACUUUACUGUGAUAAUAAAUCUGCAAUAAGCAUUGCACACAAUCCUGUGCAACAUGACAGAACAAAACACAUUGAAGUAGACCGGCACUUCAUAAAGGAAAAGCUAGACAGUGGAUUGAUUUGCACCCCAUAUGUAUCAACCAAGGGUCAACUUGCAGAUGUGUUGACUAAAGGCCUCAACAGUGCGACAUUUCAGGAAAUUAUUUCCAAGCUGGGAAUGGAAAACACCUAUUCACCAGCUUGAGGGGGAGUGUGGGAAAACAUUUAGUUACAAGUGGUUGUAUUUUGUAAUCUGUAUAUAUCUGUAUCCCUAAAAUUGAGAAUUUGUAUCUCUAGAAUUAAAGACAGAAUAUCAGGAUAGACAAUUCCUUGAUUAUAGGGAUUAGAUUUAGGAAUAUUUAGUUUCUUAGUUUACUCUCCAGUUAGUUGUAUUUAAAUCUAUGGUGUUUGUAUGAUUCAAAUACAAGUUUUCAAUAUACUCUCAUUUUUCCACAAGAAGUAUGGUUUUUUAGAAUGCCAGACCGAUCGCACCAUGUUUGUCAAACAUUCACUUGAAGGAAAAAUAGCCAUUCUUCUUGUCUAUGUGGAUGACAUUAUUCUUACUAGAAACUAUGUGAAAGAAAUUAGCGACCUAAAGAACCUCCUAGCCAAAGAAUUUGAAAUCAAAGAUUUGGGACACUUCAAAUAUUUUCUUGGCAUGGAGGUAGCUCACUCAAGAAAUGGCAACUCCGUUUCACAGUGCAAGUAUGUCCUAGACUUACUAAAGAAAACCAGAAUGCUUGGAUGCAAACCUACUAACACCCCUAUGGACACAAUGAAUAAGGUAGGAAUGGAAGAAGGAAGUCCACUAUCAGAUAAGGGCAAAUAUCAAAGACUUGUAGGGAAACUCAUCUACCUCUUUCAUACAAGACUAGAUAUUGGUUUUUCAGUUAGCAUGGUAAGCAAAUUCAUGAACAAUCCAACCGAGAAACACUUAAGGGUUGUCUAUCGAAUCUUACAGUACAUAAAGAAGAGUCUUGGCAAAGGGUUAUUUCUUAAAAAGAUAUCAUACCAAAAUGUUGAAAUUUACACUGAUGCUGAUUGGGCUAGAUCCGUUAUUGACCAAAGAUCAACUACUGGUUAUUGUACUUACGUGUGGGGAACUUUGGUUACUUGGCAAAGUAAGAAGCAAUCUGUGGCAGCUAGAAGUAGCGCAAAAGUUGAGUUUAGAGCUAUAUCUCAUGGUAUAUGUGAGGGAAUUUGGCUGAAAAUAUUACCAAAGGAGUUAAAGCUCUCUGCAGAAGAAUCCAUGAAGAUAUUCUGCAACAACAAAGUUGCUAUAAGUAUAGUAAAGAAUCCUAUUCAUCACGAUAGGACUAAACAUGUGGAGAUUGAUCAUCACUUCAUCAAAGAGAAGAUAAAGGAAGGAAUUGUUAGAUAAAUUUAUACUUCCUCAUGCCUUCAAACUGCAAACAUACUCACUAUGGCUCUCUCUCAAAAUAACUUCGAGAAUCUGAAGUCCAAGCUGGUCAUGAUUGACAUCUACCACCCAGCUUGAGGAGGAGUGUGGAAAUAUAAUCUUCAUUAUUACUUGAUUAGUUGACUUUAUCUAUUUUAGUUAAGUCUCUUAAUUUUAAAAUAAGGAGUGAUUUGGGUAAUUACACCAAAUCCAUUAGAUAUUUUCCUAUUAUGUGUAGAGAGUAAAUUACUCCUUUGAUUAGUUGUUUUAAUGCAUGAAAAUCUUGGGUUUUAAAAGUCUUUAGCCUAUAUAUUUUCAUGCAAUUCUAGUAUUAUAAUAAGAAAAAUAUAGAAGAAUAAAAUGGUUUUAUUCUAGAGAUUUCUUCAGUUACAUAACUUUUAUAACUAUCUUUAAUUUAGACAGUCAUUUUCCUAUUGACUAAAAGAUCAAUAGCUUAAAAUGAAGUGAUAAAGGAUAGUAAAUAACAUUUUUACUAAUAAGUGAUUAGAGAUGAAAAAAUGUUAACAAUGGAAAACAGAACUAAGGCUUUGCUUGGUAGGGUGGACAACAAAUUGGAAAGAUGGAAAAUUGGAGGAGAAAAGUGAGAAGAUGGAAACCAUAUUUUUCUUUCCAUUGGUGUGCUUGAGGAAAGAUGAAAAAUUGGAGAAAAAACAAUGAUGACCAAUAUUGUAAUUAUGUAACGCUUACUCACCUUUUUCAUUCUCUCAUCCUAUCUUUUUAAUUUAGAAUGAUUUGCUUUUGUGAAUGAGUGUUAAAAAUGGUCAUUGUUCUCAUUUUCUUCUUCUCACUUUUCUCUCAUACCAAGCACACCCAAAAUUCAUAUUCUUACACUAUUCCAUCAUCCCCUUUCCAUCCUUCCAUUUUUCCACUCUGUCAAGCACACACUAACUGAUGUAUCAUAGAGGGAGGGAGGCGGAGAGAAACAAAAAAAUGUCGUGUUUACCUCUUGCUCAAAAGUCCUGACUUCACCAGAACCGGUGACACGGAAGUAUCUUGGAUAAAGAUUAUAUAUCCUGAAGCUGUUUGUAGAACCAUUGAGAACCUUUUGGACAUCAGAUCGUCCUGGAAGAUCCUUAGACUCAAGAGGUUUCUCAUAUUUCACGACUUCCUUGCCCUUUGGUCGUUCCCUUGAAAGUAGCCAAGUAGAAGUGAUACCCAUGUCCAUAUCCCAGUCAAGGGACUGAAUAAAUCUUCUCUGAACGACAUCAGGGACAAGCCAUGAAAUACUCGCAUCAGCUUGGCAGCAUAUCAGUUGUAUAUCAUUCUCAUUGUAGGCGUCCAAAUAAUUAAAGGGAUCAAGAUUAACAUCAGAAUUGAGCUUAUCCCAUUGUAGCUUUUCACAAAGAGUUGUCUGAUACAAGGUCAACCUUCCACCACCAGUACUAAUAUCUGCUUGAAAACUUGCAUCUUUAAUGGGGUUUGCAAUAUUUGUCGGAUUGCCACUGCUGUACAUCUGGCAGAACCAAACAAAAUAAAUUUUAUUAACUGGUCAAGAUAUAGAAUGCUUCUUUCACCUAAUCACACGUAAAGAUAUACCUAGACAUUCAUGGUUGUGUAUGACUUCUGGUAACAGCAUUAAUGAUGCCAAUAGGCACUAUCAGUACAAUAACAAUGUCAUUACUUUUGGCAAGACAAAUGUAACAUGUUAUGUUGUCAACUUUAAGUUUAAUAUCACAUAACACUUGUUUUACAAUUUUAAACUACGACAGAACUCCUUGGAUCAUCAGCCAAUACUUUACAAACUUCAAAGUAACGAUAUAAAGAACCCUGAGUGUAUGAGAUAUACAUAAUACAUUCAAGCAAUGGAAUCUAAUUGUUACAGGGGAACCAUGAUCAUAAAUCCUAAGAAGAAUUGUAAAGGAAAGGGACAGCUGGUCUUACGUAUGAUGAUCUAGAAUUACAAAAGGAACAUAAAUUUGAUGGGUCGAAUCAAAAUAUUAAAAUUUCUUCACAUUAUACGUUUUCCUCAUUGCCACAUUAGCACAUCCAUAAAUUAUAAAAUCCCAUGGCUCUUUUCCAUGUCCAGGCACAACAAUAUGAGAAAUCAAGAAAUUAGCAGUAAAUAUUACAUCCAAGAACAUGGAGUAAUUUUAUAAUGCUUCAUGCACAACAUUGCUAACUUAAAUGUUUGCUUUACAUAUUCAGUGGUGGUGGACACCUAGACCAUGUGUAGACAUGACUCCCUAUCCACAAAGAAAAUUACGAAACAAAAACAGAUCCUAGCAGACCAGGAAUGAAAAGGCACAAGAAGUUGGCAAUAAUGAAAUGGAAUCCCUUCUGAGAAAAGUUUCUCAAAUGCUUUCGAUGUAGUAGGUACCAUACAUUGAAAAAUAUAUUAUGCAGAUAGUACAUCUGGUUAUGAAGUCCCUUACCAGCAUAGGAGCCCAGAUAACACAAAUUAAUAUAAAGAAAAGACAUAUUCCAUUGCAGCACUUGGUCAUUUUUGUUUGCUUCUCUCCUUGUUUGUGCUUAGCUCUAUUCAACACUGCAUCACAUUUGACAAGGUACAGACUUGCAUUUAUGUCUUCCAGCUAAGAAAAAAGUUAAAUGUCAGUUUCUAAAAAUCAGCAAGAAAACACUCUAAUCAAAGAAUCCUUGCUCACUAAAGCUCAAAGCAACUAUUCUUUAUAAAUAGAUAAUACAAAAAUCUUUCUUGGAAAAUAUUAAGAAAAAAAGUUAUCUUUGCAUUUAUCUUUUGUAGCACUGAUAUAGGAAUGAUGCCAAAGGAUACAUGUCAAGACUUCAAAAAAGAAAUUCCUGAUCUGACAGCCAUAAAUUUAUAAUUCAUGAGCAAUAAAUGGCAUACUUGCCUGCAUUUUUAAUAGAUAAGGUCCUAGCAGUUGGCAGUGGUACUUUCUUUAUUUUUCCAAAUAACUUCCCCAAGUUCAUGUUAUCUACAAAUUUUUUCUGUUUUAUUUUUGAACGAGAAAGGGCAGGGUUGGGCUGGCAGAAUUCACCAGUUGAUUGUAGUAAUAGUAUAUACUCAGUUGGAUGAAGCCAUGCAACAAGUUUUUGUUCUUAGUUGUACAUUUUUUAUUUUGCAGGAACAAAAUCAUAAUUUUCUUCACGUCUAGAUCCUUGAAGAAUCAGGGCAACUUUUCCAGUUUAGUGUAUGUUCUCCUGUCAAGUAUCCUAUCUAUGGUAGAGGGUGCAACCUGAAUAUAAGAGCACAACAAACCCUUAAUUUAACUGAUGUGGGGUAAGAAAACUUACAAGUGAAACAAAUGUACCAACCACCAGGAAAACAAAAUACAAAGCAACAACAUAGUGAAUAGUAAAUAAAAAAUGGGGUAUUACCUGACUUCGGGCAUCCAACCUAACAUGAAACAUCUUCAAAUGUUUAUUUGCUUGUUUUAUAGUUAGUUUACAGAUUGAGUCAUAGCCCUAGCAAGACGAUAAAUAGCCCAAGGGUCUGCAUAGAUACUUAUGUACCUUUUAUAAUUUACUAGCAUUUUGAUUAAAGAAACAAUGACCUGUUGACUACUUUGGUUUAUUGAAGGCAUUUCUCUCUCUCUCACACACACAUGCAAGUAGGCAUCUUCAUUAUUCUUCAAAUUAAUCACAACCAAAACCUUAUUUCCUCCUUAGUGUCUCCAAAAGCCAGUGUUGCAACCCUAGAAACUCUCCUCACAUAGAGCCCCUAACCUAAGCUCACAUACUUAUGAAAUAAUCACUGUCCAGAUUCUCCUGGAACCUAACUUCUGUUUCCAGAAACCAAAAAGAUCCUAAACCUGGAUGUUCCCCCCCCCCCCCCUUUCUAUUUCCUAAAGCUUAACCUGUUUCCUACCCUAAAAUCACCAAGUUUCUUGAAUAUAAGCCACUAUGAGCUACAUUGUAAGAAAUCCCAAGAUCUGUCCUUGAUCACAUUUACUGCAUAAUUUCCAAAAGGACAGCCAACUGAAACAACUUAAAUUUUAAUGCAAAGCUAAAAAAAUAAUAGUAAUAAUAAUAAAAAAACUCUGGACUUACUUUGAGCCAGUCAUACAUGGUCAAAGAUGUUGUUGUGCAUGACCAGUCGAGUACACAUCGUAAUUCAUAAAGGAAUGGUAGAGCCCGAUAAAGUCUAUAGCCUAAGUAAUUAAUUCGUGAAACCUCGCUGGUCAAAAACUGCCGAAACAAGGUACUUUUAUGAGGAAUUCCAUGCCGGAUUUGUACAGCCUGAAGUGCUAGAGAAACUGCUUUAGCAAGAAAUAUAGCACGGAGUGCUAGCCGUCCGGCUUGCUGGUCAGAAGGUUUCAUCUGCCAAGCAUACUCUGUAAUUGAAUAUGUGAAGAGAACGAGGUUGAAAAGGUAGAAAAUAACUUUUCCUGUAGCGAAUGAACAGAGAUACAGUAUGCGAUCAACAACAAUCAAGAAAAAGAUGAUCUGCAUGAAAGAAUUUGACCCAGUUAGGAAUUAGAUCACAGCACAUCUAGGCCAUAAUAGCCCAAGACAGAAUGCAAAGAAAAAGAAAACUAAGCCAUGAGAAAUACUCAUGCAAGUUAAGGUGCUUAGAAGAGAAAGAAGAAAUAGACUUACCAUUAAGAUAAUCACAAACUCUAUAGGAAAUUGAUCUUCUAGUUGAUAAACAUCAAGAAAUUCACUGUUGUUCUUAAUGACAGAUUGGUAGAAAAUUGCGACCAAGAAAAACACAGUCAGAUCAGCAACAAAUAUGUAUGCAUACAGAUCAAAUUCCCUUUUUCCACCACCUAUUACAGAGAGUAUUUGGUACGGGAAUCCUAUCUCUUCAACAAACCCAGCAUGCUGUGCCUUGAGAAUUUCUUUUGCCACAUCAGCUGCUGGGGUUAGUGACUUGUACCAAUCAGCUGAGAUACAUCCUUUCAAAGAAGAUGCAUACACCACCUCAAAAACAAUCAAAGCCACGUUUUCAUUUUCUUGACUUCUUUCAAUGCUUUGAACCUGAACCCUACUAGCAAAUGGGCAAUGACUAGGAAUUUUUUCAGCACAUCUCUCAUCAUGAACUAGCCUGAGCAGUUGGUUUAUUCCAGACUCAACCCUUUCUGGCUGAAUCCCAUCCUCUGGCCACAAAUGAACAUCCAUUGACACUUGAACAAAAUAAGGAGGAGUUUCCGCUCCUUGUAUUAAUGAUUUCCAGUACCAGCAGAAGCUUCUAAUUAACAGUUUCACCAUAUUUAUUACAAAUUGGAGCAACUCCGAUACCCUUUCACUCCAGCUAUAGUUCACAAGAACCUCAUUUCUAUGAAGAGAACUCCUCCUAUGGAAGUCAAAGUCAGUAAAGGGCAUCCAUUCUCCAUCUUUUGCACUUAUAGAGCUCUGUAAGAGGGUAAAUAAGUAGACAAGAAAUAGAGGCAACGAACUCACAACAAAUGAUGACUUGAUUUCAUGAGCAGGAAACCCUAUUUCAUAGAGUAGGUCUGAAUUAAUAGUCAAUCCACAAUGCUGGAUUACAAUUUGAUACAGAUACUGAAGCAAAAUAUAAACCUCUGUGUAAAUCAACAUAAUAAUCCAGAAGAUAUAAGUCGGGCCGGUAUUCACACAUAGAGCAUACAAGAAAAGGGCUGCAAGAUACACCAUAGAAAGCAAACUGAAGUUCCAUAGAAAGACAAGGAAAAACAAACAGUAGCACACAACAUCAUUAUUAGACUGCAUUUGGGACCAUAUAUGGCAUAAGAUCCUCCCUAGCUGCAAACUCGUAGCAUCGGAACUUUUAUCAGAUUGCAGAGAAGAUGAACGGUUGAAACACAUAUUCUGCAUCUUUUGGCUCUCCAUCUCAUCAUAUGCCUCAUCCUCAACAGAUGAGCGCUCAUUCAUUUCUGAAUCUUCUGGUGCAAUGUUCAAGAAAUUCACAAGGUUAUUAACUGCCUGAUUUCCAAUAGACUGUACCUGGGAAACACCAUCACCUAGGAGGUGUACUGCAGAAAUCAAAGGAUUUUCCUUUAUUUGGCUUUUCCUCCAUCUCUCUACAUCAAAAAAUGCACUAUCACCAUCAUGUUCAAUUUCGGUGAUCUCACAAGGUGCAUAUUCCAUUGAAUUCUUUGGAGAUUCCACUACUUCAGGACUUUCUCCUUUCAUAUGAGCCUUAUACGCAUGUGCUUCAAGGGGGAAUACUGAAUCCUCUUUAAUUAUUUGCUCUUGCUUCCAAAGAGUGCCUUCCUCUUUGUCAGAAGGUCCAACAUGCCUAUUUGAAGCAAGAGAAGCACUCUUCCUCCUCCGUAGGCCUUCAUCAUCAGGAGACACAUCAGGCAGAGUUGCAACUGAGUUCAUGCUAUGAAGCUGUAUUUGCAAGUUAAGCAUCUCGGAUUUCAUCUUCUCCACUUGCAAGUUGCGUUGAUGUUUCUUCUCCUCAGAUUCACGAAUCUGUUGUAACUGUGCAGUUUUCCAUGCAGCUUUUUUUUCCUGCUCGCGUACAAUGGCACCAAUUUGCUCUGCUUCGAGAUAUCGUGACACGUAAUCAGACUCUGGGGAGGAAAACAUAUAUGACUGAAGGGAUACCAACAUAAAUAUGAUAAUCUCAACAAGUGCAGAUCUGGCAGUAAUUCGAAACCCAUAGUCAUACUUGUAAAAUCCAAUGACUUCAUAUAUGUAGUUCACAGUCUUGCACUUCCCAGAACUAAACUCCCCUACAAAAGGAGAUUGAUAUGCAAGAGAAAGAACAAUGACCACAAAGUUGUAGAUACGCAAGAACUUGAAUAUUUUAUUCUUCUUCUUGAGAAUUUCAAGCCUCAUCCGGAAGAAAACAAGAGCAAAAGCAAGAUAACCAAGGUGCAGAAUAUCAUACUCAAGAGUUCCAGUUAUCAAAAUCAAUACAAGGACAAGGUCUAAUAGAUGGCAAUAACAAUAAAGCCUUAUGUAGUCAAGAAAGGUCCACAUGCUUUUGGUUUCAAAAGAGAGAUCUCGCCAAACAAAUGAAUUUUUACGUUGAGACAUCAUUUGCCGAUAUGUUGAUGACCCUGAGAAAUCAGACAAGUGAUCUGCACGGAGUUUGAAACAAGCCAGCAGAAAGACGAAAAAAUAGCUGAUAAGCAUUCGAGGAUCAUCAAUGAUUAGUCCUGCAGGAAAAGGGGGUAUGAUUAGCAGAUUUGUUUGAACUUUCUUUAAAAUGCACAUAUACCAAAAUUAAAUAAUGAAUAGAUAGAAAAACAUGGACAAUUGACAGGAAUAACCCCAACUCUUCCAAGCUUAAGCGAGUUAAAGCUGAGUUAGAAAUCAGUCUAAAAAUUGUUCAAAUGUCCAUAUCAAAUAUACCACACUUCAUUUAGACAGAAAAAAAAAAAAAGGAAAAGACAUGACCAAGUAGCAUAUAGGAUCAUGCUAAUAAGAAUCAUUAAAAUAAGUCAAAUUUUCUUCUACCAGUCAAAAGCAAAGUAUAAAUUGUCCUGUGCUUAUCUAGCCUAUUGAAGGUGCAAUUAAUAGGCAGAUUAAGAGAGCAAUACCCAGCCAACAGCUCCUGCAAUACUGAAAAUAUGAAGUUGAGCUUCUCCAGCAGUCAUGGCAAAGUAUUUCAGUCUGACUUGGUUUAUGUUGAUUCAGAGGAAACAUUGUCUUCCAGAUGGCAAAAUACUCAAGGAUGAGAAUGGAAGCAAACAAGAAGACAAGCACUGGCCACAAUUUACGUAUAAUCUGCCGACUCAAAAGAACGCAGACAGCAAGUAAUGCAAUAUACAGCAUAGAGAUGGCAUUCAACAAAGCAAAACUUGCGAGAAGCAAAGCAAUCAUGUUAAUCUCAAGGCCAUAAAGGUUAAACAUGUUCUCUAUCCAGAAUUUCAAAUAUAUUUUUAAGACAGCCUUCUGUGUUUCAAAUCUCUCUUUCCUUAAUGCCAGGAUCCGCUUCUUGUUCCACUUAUGACUCUCCUUGGCGCUUCCCCAGAAAUAUCCAAACGAAAAUUUUCUCUCACUUCUAACCUCAGAGUCUCCUGCUUUGGAAGACACAGGAUGAGGUGCUUGAGAAAAAGCGGGGCUCAAAGAUGACCAUGAAUUGUUUGCUGCUCUUUCUUGUCUUAUAGGUACUGCCCCAACACUAGAAGAUGGCUUAUCUUCCCUAUUAGACAUGAAGCCAUCGGUGAAGGUAUCCUCUGCUGACAAAAAUAAAGGACAAGGCUCUUCCCACUUGCCUUUGUUUGAAAAAACGCUUGGCAUAUUAUCCAACCAACGGAAGACGUUGUACUGAAGGGUGCAUGCAGCAAUUACCAGCACCUUUCCCCUCAAGCCCGAUUCUAUACCCCAAAAUCCCAGCUCAUAUGAACGGAAACCCAAAAAGAGUGACAAAUCAGAAUGCUUUUGCCCUGGAAACAUUCCAGCUUGUUUACCCCACAUCUGAAAAAGAUACUCUGUUGUCACCAGAAAUCCUGUAUAAACUAAGAAUGAUUUGGAUGGGAUCCGAGAAGCUUUGGGUAAAGUUGAACAUAGGACAAGGCCAAGUAGAUACAAGAAUCCAAAAGCACAAAUUGGAGACAAAGACGCAUAGAAUAAAGAGACAAACAGGACCUUCUGGCUGUGCCAAAUCAGAACCCGCUUGGUAAAGCCAAGUACCCCAGAGUCUAAAGGAUUGGGAUAAUCAGUCCUGUUGUACUUGCUCUGCCUCCUUUCAUAGCUAUAAAGUUGCAUCACAAUUAGAACUGCUAGAGAUUGCCAAAUAUUAUCCAACAAUGAAGCUUCAGGCUCAUAUCCCAAAUAAAAAUGCAGAUCUAUAAACCCAGACAACCAAAUCUUAAAGCUAGUAAAACUGCUUAGGCUAUAGACAAAAAUGAAUACCAUGAUUGCAUAUGUUUUUAGUGGAAACCAUAGGCGCCUUUUUGUUCUCUCAACAAGUUGUCUUCCAAUAAUCCAAACAAGGAGAAGGAAGAUGUAUCCGAAUGAUAUAUAGUUGGGUGUCACCAUGUAUACUGUAAGAAGAAUGGUCAGCAAAGCAAUGUAGGUUCCACAUGAUCUAUAUAUCAACAAAAACUUCUGCCCAAUUUCACUAAGGAAUGACGCUAUCCUUCUCUCUGAAAUUACAUAAAACAAGUAAGUAUACAAUGCUGUCAAAAUAGAGCAAUGCAGCUAGAAGUGGUAAUGGGAAUAUUGGUAGACAAAUCAGUAACAGCAACAACACAUUAUUAUAAUGAAAAAAAUGGCUUAGAUACAGCUAACAUUGAAGACUCCUAAAAUGUCCAAUUUCAUGAGAAAGCAGUCAUCUCAUAGAGGAUGAAGAUCAGGCUAAGAACCAGCUACAAAAUAAUCUAAAAGCAUUCCCUAUCAUGUUUAGAUCAUAAAACCUGCACAUAAUACUGGGAUAAUACCAACUUGUCCUAGUUUUGGUUUGCUAUAAUCUUUGAAUGAAUUGUAGAGCAAGCAAUCUAUCAAGUAAAUAGCUCUCCAUCCAGAGUAUAAUUCCAGACAUAUAAAAAAAAGGUCAAUCUUACUACUAAGUUUGUGACACAUCAUGAACAUGACAUUCCUACCUUCAUUUCAAAUAAGAUAAAAUAAAGGACUACCUAUUAAAAUUCUUUUAGCAUUUGCAACUAAUAUUGGAAAAUGAACCCUUUUUGUAGGUCUUUGCAUUUUCAAUUAUUACAGUCAAAUUUGGACAGAAAUUUUGACAUGCAAAAAAGAGAUUAUACCAUAAGAAGGAUUAUCAUGGCUGUAGGAUGUGUUUCGAGAUGCAUAUACUGACAAGAGGACAGAUUUGUUCAGACCAGCUCUCAAGAUACUAAAACCAACAGGAGGGCUAGGGGUGUGCUGCACAAUUGCUGAGAAUGAAAAUAGCAUCUCAAACCCAUGGUUAUGAAUUGAACAGAAGCAAGCAAGCAAAGCUAUUUCUAGAAAGUUCCAAGAGCUGUGAUGUUUAAGAAGACCUGCAUCAAUUCAGAGAAGAUUGUUUAGUUCAUUUCUCUUUCCUGGGCAAGAGUUUCAUCUUAAGUCAAAAGAAAAAGCCCUUAUGAAAGUUAAUUGAUAGCCAUAAUCAUGUCUAAUAAAUCAAAUUAAAUGACCUAAAACAAAUGCAUACCUAACUGUGAUAUGAUUUCCAAAAUUAAAGAGCCUUUUUGCUCCAAAGCAUUAGAGAUCACAUCAAUUUGAAGAAGGUACAACGAUGCAAAGUGAGCUUCACAAAGAAGAAUCAGAGACUGGCGUAUCUUUCUGCUGAUGUUGUGGCCCAAAAGAUAGAUCAAAAAGAAAACCACUGAAGCAGGGGUAAGAACAUAAAGCCAAUUAGAAAGUGCCCUGGACAAACUCACAGUAAUAAUACCACUUUUCAAUUGCUUAUGUGAAUCGUAUAAGAACAUUGGACAAAAUGUCUUAUGCUAAAAGUCAAUUUAUAACUUAAUUACGAACUAGAACAGACAAGAUUUAAUAAAACAUACUAUAUACAGCAUGGAUGAAUCCAGGUUUCAUUGCUAUGAUAAAUAUCAGUGCAAGCAUGAUAGCUCGAGAACAUUUGCGCAGUCCCCAUGCAAUUGUAGCCACAAUGAACACCUUGGUCUCUCCAUCCACUGUAAAUAAUGGACAUGAGAAAGUGAUUAUAUAGAUUAAAGUAUAAUUGCCACCCUUUUUGUAUCCAUAAAUAAUCAAAACAUAGAUAAGAAAGAAGCAGGAAGUAGUCCAAAGACCAUGCCAGAGUAGUAGAUACAAUGAAAUAAAACCUGAGAAAAUAAUGUGUUUUAUGUGCUGUCAGGAAGCAAAAACAUCAAAAGAAAAUUUUUAGUGAUAUCUUAAACAAAAAGGUAACAAUCCUUCAAGCUCACUGUUGUAAAAUAGAAAUCUCACUCCAUAAAUGCACAACUUUAGAAAUAUUCCCUUGCUGAGGAACUGUAAAGAUAUAUUCAGAAGCCAACCUAACAAUGGUCCUCAAAAUGCAGAUGCCAAAAAAGAAUUAGAUAGCACUCAUAAUAUAGGAUUUCAUACCUUCCACAGCAGACUUGUUGUUUGAUGAUGGUGCAUCCUCAUCAGAUAAGUAGAGGAAAACAGAAUUAUUUACAAGAUUACCCAAAGCAACCAAAAUUCCGAGACAAAAUUGUGCAAGCAAAAAAAAUCCAGGUAUGGGAUAAUGCCAAAAUCCAACCAUCUCCCAGAUUUCCAUAUCCUGAAUGUGUCCAAAAAACAGAAGAAAAAAGAAAUUUGAACAUUUAAAUUUAUGAUAACGAAGAAUUUGCAAACCUCCAAAAGAGAUGAGUACCUUCCCAAAAUUCCUAUUCAAGAAUGCAAAUGCCACAUUGAAUAUAUAGGUGCUAACAGCCCACAAGAGAAUGAAAACAAGGAGGAGCCCAUUUAACCGGUGCAAACAGAACAGGGAAGGAAAGGCAUACACAACGUAGCCAACAUAUGCAAGUAGCCCAAAAGCACAUAUACUUGCAAAAUGAAAACUCCAAAAGGAAAGAGCAAACAAGGAUACCUGUCAAAAUUUUCCAGUGACAAUUAAAAUAUAAACCUUGAUAUUGAUAAAAUUAAAUAAAGACCUAUGAGGGAAUAGCGAAAUCUAAUAAAAGGUAGUGAUCAUACUGGAAAACCAUAAGUGAAAAAAUUGAUGGUGAAAGUCCGGAAAGCUGCCCCUCGCAGUAAAACAUUGGUGUGCCUUACACCAGAUCUGGAGAAUUAGAAUUAACACAUUAAGGAACUCAAAACAACCCAUCCUUUAAAGCUUUUUUUUUUUUUUUUGAAAAAGAAAAGCAGAAGCACAAAUGACGCAUGAACAUCUUGUGCAGUGUAGUUUAUCAGAUCCAAAACAAACAUGUUGAUGAAAAAACAGUUUAUAAAGCUAGCAGAAAAGAAAAAUGUGAAUUAAAAUGAGUACUGGUAAUUCAAAUAAUUCAAAAGGAUUGUUUCUGAUUCUGCAAAAUAUAAUUGUGGAAAGUAGCCAAUUCAUAAUUUUGAAUCAGACAAUUUAUUCUUUUUUAUCUUGGUAUCCUCUUACUACCGCAUCUUCUUUACAGAACAACUCUAUUAAACAUAGAAAAACUUCCUCAAAAUAGUAAAGCAUAGGUAAACACCUUUAGGUUAGGAAAAAGAGAAAAUUUCCAGAAUAGAUACAGAUGCAAGAAAUGGUUAUUUGAAUUAAUAAGCUACUUCUAGAUUAUAAAUGCAAGAAAUGGACUAAAUCUAUGAAUAAAUCAAGUACCAUUGAGUUUGAAAUUUAAUAGUGUAUUGAUAAAUAUUUUCCCUCUUUAAGAAUUCAAAGCAGAUAACACUGGAAGAAUCAGGUAUAACAUAAAAAAAGUAUGUUACCUUGAUUCACGAAUGAAGAAUGAAUGCUUUGAGGGAAGUAGUUGCUCUGUCAAGUUACUUUCUUGCAUGGACAUGAUGAAAUCCAUUUCCUCCAAAUCACAUUUGACAUAGGAUAGCUGCACUAAAGUAAAAAUAUUUAAAUAGCAAGACCAAAAAACAGCACAUAAAUAAAGAAGAUAUUUUCAACAGUUAGCAUAACUAUGUCGUACAAGUAAUCCAAAAACUUCACAGUUAGCAUCUCUAUAUAAUUAUUAGGCAAAACUUAACCUGCCAACGGUAAAGAAAUUCACAACAGAACAUGUAUUAUGCACAUGCAUGGAGCUGCACUAAUCUUGUCCUCAGUUAUAUUAUCUCUUUAUAAUCAUAAGUUAACUUAUCAAAAACUAUUAUGAACAUAUACUAUAAAUAUGUGGUCUCAGACCAGGAAGCUCUCAAAUUUUCCAAGUGCAAUUUUACCAAGUAAAUUGAAUUAACAUUGCAUCCAGAAUGCCAACAAUGUCAUCCAAACUUCAAAGUCUACUUUGCAACUGAAUAAUUCAUAUCAAUGUGGGGAAAUUUAAAGAACUUCAAACCAUCUUAAAAUUUUAAGAUCAGGAAAGACUAAAUUAGAAGGACAAAUGUCAGACACUUGAUAGACUAAAAUGAAGUGAAUUGCAGAAUCUAAUAUUCUAGGAAGAAGGAAGCGUGUUUUGCACUUCAAGGUUCAGCUAGAAUCUUUAAACAGAAUCAAAUCUAUAGUAAUACAACUAGUACAUACCAUGAUGUAAAAAAGCAUGAGAGAAACAGCGGAGCAAAUCUCAGGCCACUCAGAUGUUGAAGAUAUUUUGAAUAGACCAACAAAAUCAGCUAUCCUCUGUAACAUAUUUGAGAACUCUAUAGGGAGCUGAUAUACAUAAAGCAAGACAAUGUUGAAGCCUGCAUAAAGCUGGAGAGCCUUCCACAACCUUGAGAAGAAAGUACCAGAACAUAAGCUACUAAAGGUAUUAACAAAUGGUAAAAACAAAUUCAAAGAUAAAGAAAGGGAAAUAGAACAAAGGUCAGUGAUGUACAAAGAGUCACAAGGCAAUCACCUGAAUAAUCCUAGAAAAUUGCUUGUCAAAGACCAAUCCACUAGCCCAACACAGCUACCAAUAAAAAAUGGCAGAGAAACCCAUGAGGGAUGGCUAAUUCCCACAACCAGCUGAAUAGCAGGUAGAAGCAAACAGGAAGCAACUCUAAGAUGGGAACCUUUCAUGAAGCAAACCAUGGAAACAAUUCUAUAUCAGUUUCAAUUUAAAUUUAAAUAUGCGGGAUUAUAAACAAAACUAAAAUAAAAACUCUACUGUAAUUUAAGUUCAGAAACUGAAGCAAAAUAAAGAUUAAGAAAGAAAUGCUUCAAGAUAGUUUAAACUUUUCUUUCUUUUUCCUUAGUGUAAGAGACUGACACAAGUACCAAUUCCUUCACAACAGAGAAGCCUUAAUGGGCAUCGAUAUUAUAUGUAAAAGGUACAAUGUUGACUAGAAUUCAGUUAAGCAACACAAUGAUUUCAGUUGACUAACCCAUGAAAUAGCAGCCUGUCAGGCAGACACAUUGUUAUAUAUUAUUAAUUCAUUCUGCACAUACAUUAUCAAUUUGUCAGAAAUACAACUCAUAGUUACAGCAGAGCUGUAAUGCAUAAAAUACCAAGCACCUUUGCUCACAGAAAACUCAAGAUGUAAUUUUAUUACUACUGGACUAGAAUGACAAGAACCUUACAUCUGACAAGAUCAUAUGAGGCAAAAUAUUGACUUAGAAGUUCUAGUAGCUAAUUGAUAAGCUUUCAAGUAGGCUACAGAGCUCAGUAAUUUCACCUGAAGUUCAUAAGGACCAAAAGAGCAGAAGAAAAAUAUUCCAAAGAUCACAAAAAUAUACUAUCAUGGAUCCCGAACGAAAAGAAGAUAACAACAAGACUUCACAACUGCUUUAGAAGGGCGCAAUUGAGGGGAGGGGUGUUGAACAUGAUUGAAUCAUUUAACAAAAUCAUAUCCUCUGCAUGCAAUGAUAGAACCAUAAAACAUGCAUAUUGGUUUGGUAAAUGGGUCCUUUUUUGGGGCAGGGAGAGUACAUAGUGCAACAAUGAAAUAAUUAGAACAAUAAGGAAAUACUUACAAACCUAAACGUUCAAGAGCUGUUAAGAAAUGACCCCAACAAGAAUAUCGCCAUGGAACAAGACCAAACCUGUUCCCAUGUAUAUCAAGCAAAGCAACGAAAACCACUAGUAGUUGUACGACCAAGAAAUAAAUCAAAAUAGGAGAUUUCCAAGACUGGAUUCUGCAGAAGCAUAAGCAAAGAGACAAAUUGUCAAAAUAUGCAGAUGCACUGAAGGGACAAAAGAAUUAGAGAAAACCAAAUAUAUUCUUACAUCAUAAAACCAAUUAGCUUCAUCCACCAAGCCUCGCCUGCACUCUGUUUAUAACCUUCAAUGGCCCAUAUAACAAGAUACACAGCUUGUGAAAGAAAAAAAAGUAUGGAAAAGAUGAUAAUGGGCCAGAGUAACAAAUAUUUCCUCCGGAAACGAAAUCCUACAAGAAAAUAAUCCUAUGUUACUUUAUAAGAAAUGAUAACAACUUCAAAUGAAGCAUUAAAGGAAUAAGAAUCACAGACAGAAGUUAAACUUCUAAAGUGCAAGAUGUCCAGAAAAUAUCUCAAACCCCUUUUCUAGUUUUCUUAAAUAUAAAAAAUAAAGACUGGGGAUUAUUUUGGCAUUAAAGACUGCUGCCAUUGAAACUACAAUUAAGCACUUUGUAAAGUUCAUUAGAUAUACACUUCACCUAAGUAUAAAGCACCAACCGGCAUAAAAUCUAAAGUAAAAUUGUCAAACAUGUAUGACCCUGCUGAAUUAUGGAAUAUUAGAACUAAAGAAAGGCAAAGAUAAAGCAAAAUUUUACCAGCAAAUGUUCAUUGCUUACCUAUUGUUGGCACAGUAUGUUGAAUGAGAAGGAAAGCUAUCAAAUCAACAAGAGAUAUCAAACUCCAAUUGAUCAAUGCAGCUUCAAGAAAGGAAAAACAGGUAAAAACCAUUAAUUACUUCGAUGGCAGUGCACAUAUGUAUUUGUAUAUGCAUAUGCACAAAAUUGUAUUGAAGUUUUUAAACAGUAACUCAUAAAAGAAUAUAAUGAUAAUCUCAAUAUUAGGUGAAGAUAUUUCUCUCUGUUAGUCCUCUACAGAGAUCUUUAUUUCUCUUAGUCUCUAUUUACUGUUCUUUCAACUACUGUUAAUUAAAAUGAACUCUCUAUGGUACGUUGCUUAAAACCAGGCCUCAAGGUCCAUUACAAACCAACCUGUACCUAACCAAGAAGAGUACCAAUGGAAUUUUUACAUUUCAACUGAUUAAAUUUUAACUAAUAAAACACUUCUACACUUGUUACCUUUUCAGGAUCCAAAGUGAAGAAAAUCAAUUAAUAACUAAUAUGCAGAAUAGUUAGAAAGACUGCGUGAUGUCCCGUGUCACAAGCUAAUUUUAAACUAGGUUCAAACUAUCCAGGAAUUAGAUUUUGCCAGCCUUAAAAACUAGAAACCUAUAUAUUUGAUACUGGUCUAAUUCAAGAUAGACUUAUUUUAAAACAGAAGUGAAUAUCCAAACAACGGAUGAAAUGAAUUGAACAGGUUGCACGUAAAUAACGAAAAGACUAGCGUUCUCCAUAUGAACUCGUGAGCAGGAAACAAAUUUUAGGAUACAAGGUUCCUCACUCUUAAUACCAGCUUGGAUAAUUUAAAAGGUGGUUUAGACUCUCCUCAACUUCCUAGCACAUCCCUCUGGCAUUCGAGCUUAGUUAUUUACCCAUGGAACAGCGUUCAAGAAUGAAAACUUAUGCGCAGACAACUAAAUUAUACUGAUAAACAUCUGCACUCAUAAACAUAGCUCACAUAAUGGAUAGAUAAAGUGAUUCCAACACAAAACCAACACUACAAAAUGAAUUGCUGUUAAAGAGAGAGAGAGAGAGAACAUGGAACAAAAAAGAAAUUUUCAGUCUCUUAUAUACAAACUAUAAGGAAAAAGAUUAAAAAAAUAUAGGAAAUUAAGUAAUGAGAAUAAGUACCAAAACAUACCCGUUAGAAGCAGCAGAGGCAAGACAAACCCAGCAAGAAAAUUCCCCAUCAGAUUAGCUCUUUAAUACCACCGAAACCAGAUCACUUCAGAACAAAGACAAAAUCUGUUCAUAGGUUUUCAGUUUCCAUUAAAAUCUAUGAAAACCCAUUUCACGUCAAAUCAAAAAUUUCAUCCAAACGAAUAGAAAGAAGGAAUUUUGAAUUGAAACCCCUCCAAGAAAGUUCGGGUCAUGUGCUUUUGCGGUGUGGGGGAAAGCAAAUGAAAGAAUAAAGGGCAUAAACGGAACUUAGUUAACGGGGUUUUCUAGCAUUAUGGAUAAAAUCGAAUCAUCAAAAAUUCAAAAUCUUAUGUCCUUAAAAAUGUAAAGAGGAAAACUAAAUAGGUGGGUAUAUAUUUAUGAAUUAAAAUGAUUUUCUUAUGCCCUAAAGCUUUAUAAUUACGGGAAGCUACUAACAUCCAACUAACGGUCCAAACAGCAAGUCUCGCAUGUAAUACGUGGAAAUAUCAGGUAUUUGGAAGCAAAGCGUGCAAGAUUUUUCAAAACUUACGGAUGAAGUAAAUAAAUUUUAGACAUUUCCAUGUGGUAAAGCGAGGUUUUUUGAAAGGCCAAUGGGAAAUUUUUUUUCCCUUUUUCCUGUUUGGGACGAGAUAGUUUCUAUUUUACUUUUGAAAAGUCGAGGAAUUGAAUUCAAGUGUGAGGCUAUUAUGGUCAUAGAAUAUUGCUGCGGGUUUUACGGGAAACUGAGCUGGGUUGGUCAAAGUUUCAGUAGUCCGAGAAGGAACGGCGUCGUUUAAAAGGUGAUAAUUGCUUCAGUUUUAACAGCAAAGAUUAGCCUCGUGUUCCUUAUCACUCUCCAUUUUUUUUCCUCCAAGAAUUUUUGGAUUUCAAUGACAAUUGUUUGAGAGGGUGUUGAUCAACAUGUUCUCGUUGAUGUCAACGCCUCUCUGCAACUAUGGCGUUUCAAAGGUCCCUUUACCCACUUCUUCUUUCAAUUUCAAAUACAACAACAAUCCCAGGUUUCUCAGUUGCAGAAAAGCCUUACAAAUACAUGCCAAAGCAACAAAUGAAGUAGAUACUCGGACUGAAACAGUUGAGGAAGAACACAAAGAAGAAACUUUAGAAUCUGAACCCAAAAAAGAAAGCAACAACAUCUCCAGCUUUUCCUCUCCUUCCACUGCACCGCUUGACAAGGACCUUAGAAAGGUUCAUUUUUUUCAAGUUGGUUUCUCUUAAUUAACAUGGAGAAAUUGUUUGAUUUUGAAGUUUUAAGCCGAUUUUGAGGAUAUUCGCAUGUUACAAUUGACAACAGGUGGUUCAGCAGACUGCUGCAACCUUUGCACCGAGGGCUUCCACCGCUACUAAAAACCCUGCCGUGCCCGGAACUGCCUUGUAUACUGUUUUUGAAGUUCAAGGCUACGUCUCAUUGCUGUUGGGUGGAGCUUUGUCUUUCAAUCUCAUAUUUCCAUCAAAUGAACCUGAUAUUUGGAGAUUGAUGGGGAUGUGGUCCAUUUGGAUGUUCAGUGAGUUAUUCCUUAUCGCAGCCUUAAAGCUUUUCUCCAAUACUACUACUAUUUAUUGCCUUUUCUGGUUCAAUGGUUUCAAAUCGCAGUUAUUGCAUGUUCUACGAACAACAUUAUUCAGUUCCUAAUUGCCUAUUUCUUUACAGCCAUUCCUUCCCUUCGAGCUCGAGACUGUUCAAAGAAUGAAAAAGAAGCCCUUAAUUAUCUCUUUCUCAUCAUCCCCUUGCUAAAUGUUAUAAUCCCUUUCUUUUGGAAGUCUUUUGCAAUUGUCUGGUCUGCAGACACCGUAGCCUUCUUUGCCAUGUAUGCCUGGAAGGUACUUAAUUUCUAGUUUCUGCGCUAGGAUUAUCUCCCUCUUUUUUACUAUUACUAUUACUUUCUACUAGAAUUUUGCCUACUGAAUAUAUGUGUGCUUGCUACAGCUUGGAUGGCUACAGAAAACAGAGUAGAAAUUCAGUGAACUGGCUUCAAUUCCAAGCUUUCAAACUCCUGAAUCACUGAUGCAUGCGAGAUAUAAAUUUUCUUUAAACUGAUUGCUGCAGCAACGCACAACCAGAAUGAAGAUUGUUCAUGAUUAACAAGGCAGGGUGUGGUUGUUUCAUUUGAGCAAUAUAUUCUUGGAAUCUUGGCUGUUUCUUUUUUUUUUUUUUCUUUAUUUUGAAAUUUAAGCUUGCAAGUUGUUGUUUCUCAGGAAUUAUAUGUGUAAAGGCAAAAGUCCAUUUGGAAGAUCUAACGAUCUGAAUUUCUUCAGACAUCUUCUUGUUUGACAUCUAAACUGAUAAACCUGUGAGAUUAUCAUCGUGUGGUUUGAGUUUCUAUCUUUGAAUAAACUCUAAGGUAUCCAUUCUUGAACUCAGGGAAGAAAGAAUUUCCUUUACCAAGCAUUCAUGAAAAAUCAUCCAAAACAAAAAAAAGGUUGAAAUGAACGUCAUUUAUGCUGCACAGAUUUUUGUCAGAAUUGGAGUCAGUAGCUACAACUUACAACAAUUUGUUUCCUACUUGAAUGCAGAAGCUGACCCCAACAAACGCCUUGUUUUUAUAUCUGAAAAAAUAAGAGAAUAAUUGGAAACACAUCGGAAAAAUGAAUCAUCAUCCAUUGAUCCUAUGGUUUCUACUUUUAGGUAUCUAUAUCUAUCAACAACUCACAUGCCAAACUCCAAUGCGCAGUUGAACAUUACAGCAGAAAGGAACAUCUGUCUCCGGCUGGGUAUGGCUGAAAAAAAAAAAAAGAAAUGGAUUCUUGUCAGUGGUAAAUGAUACAUAUAAAGCUUACGAUCAAAUUAACACUCAAAAGGAAAUGGAACACGUACAGAUUAAGAAGGAAGAGGAAGGAGAAAAUGCAACUAUGGCAUGAUGCAGAUCAAAAUGCAGCCAACUACAGCUAGUGAAAUUUUUUUACCGCUAAGGGUUAAUGAGAUCCAGCCACUAUGGGGAAUUAUAUCAACAAUUAUCAAAAUUGUAUUAUUUACUAUCAAAAUUACAUGAUAAAUUACAAAAAAUUAUAUCAAAAUUACCAAUUUUGUAUUAAAUUUUAUUAAAAUUAUAUUUAAAGUUAUCAAAAUUGUGUAAAAGUUACUAAAACAAUAUUAAAUAUUACCCCAAACUUAUAUGAAAUUUUAUCAAAAUGGUAAAAAUUUACCAAAUUUUAAUUAAAGAUUAUCUACAUUAUAUCAAAUGUUACCCAAAUUGUAUAAAAUGUUACCAAAACUUCAUCAAAUAUUUAUAAAAUUGUAAGAAAGGUAAUCAACGUUAAAAAUUAUCAAAAUCAUAUCAAAGAUUGUCAAAAUUAUAACAAAUAUUACCAAAAGAUAUAAAAAAUAUAUCAAAGGUUAGUAAAAUUAUAUCAAUAAUUACAAAAAAGCAUUAAAAAUUAUCAACACAAUAUCAAUGAUAAUCAAAAUUAUAUAAAAUAUUACAAAAAAUUUAUUAAGAGUUACUAAAAUUAUAUUAAUGUUACCAAAAUUAUAUGAAAAGUUAAAAAGCUAUAUCACAUGUUAAUACAAAAAUUAUAUUAAUGACUAUCAAAAUUGUAUUAAAAAUUUAUUAAAAUAUAUUAAAAUUUUAUAAAAAUUAUCAAAAUUGUAUAAAUAAUUACCGCACUUUUGUACGUACGGCCUGAACAGCCUUGGCACUUGGGGCCAUUCUCUUCUGGAACUUUGUAUGUUUUUUAGUUGUCCUUUUUAACAAAUUUCACGAAGAAGAAUAUGCAAAAGAAACUUUUUUAACUAUAGACCUUAUGUUGUUGGUUAAAUUAGUAAAGUAGCACUUCAGAACCUUUCUCUUCCUUUGAAUUUCUAUGUUCAAUCCAAUAAAUAUAGGAAGAAUUUAAAGAAAAAGAAAGAAAUCCUUCAUACUUUCAAUCUAGUCUAGCCCUAACUGCCUUUUGUGACCAUGUGGACACAUGGUCAUAAUAAUUAACAACUUUUUUCUAUAAAAAAAAAACCCUCUUUUUAACUAAUUAAAACCCACAUUUAAUUAUCUUAAAAAGCUUCAAGUUUUUCAAAGAUAAGAAAAAAAAAUUAUCUUUGAAGAAAUAUCGAUUUAUAAAUCUUAAAUACUAUCAAUGAAUUAUAUGAUGUCAUUGUAUUAAUAAAUAUUUUUUAAAAGUUGCAUAUUUAUUUUUUGAACUUGAAAAAUUUUAUAUUUAUAUAUUAAUGAAUUAAUAUCAUGUAAUUUAUUAUUAAAUUAAUUUUUAAAAAUAAUAUAGUAAAUUAUACACAAAAAAAUGUAUCGUCUAUAAACUCAAAAACUAAAAUGAAAACAAUCUUACUACUUCCAUAUUUCUUAUGAAGAAAAAAAAAUUCUGUUACAUUUUUUUUUGGUGGCACUUUCUGACGUGGCACUGUAGUGAUAACAUGACAAAAUAGGAAAGGCCCCAUGUGGAGACUUGGGCUUUGGGCCUCUGGCCAUUUGGAUCAACUUUUAAAGAGGAGGACUAAGAAGACCGGUUUCAGACUCGACGCUUCAGCAGAAGUGGCGAGAAAAUGGUUGGACCUUGCUUCGUUUCCUUCUUCUUCCUCGUAAACUUGCUUUCAUUCUCUCAAACUCUUGACGCUUCUCACUGCUCCAUCAAAGGUAACCUUAUUCAUUUUUUUCCUUUCUGGGUAUGCAUAAGAAGCCAAUCUUUCACCUAUUUGCCCCAGUUUUCAAAAUGGGUUGGUAUAGUUUUUGCCAUAUAUGGUUUAUAUAAACUGGAAAAAACAGUGAAGGUUGCAGCAGUUUGUUGAUCAUUGAUUUAUGGGGUACAUUUUAUUUAUUAAAUAUGGAACCAGUUUAUUAAGAACAGUAGCAGAAUUUCUUUACAUUUCUUUUCCAUGCUUUUUUUUUUUCUGUGAAAUAAUAUAAUAUAUUUUUUGGGUUUUUGAUACAGGGUUCCCUCUGGUGAAGAACAUCAGUGAACUUCCACAGGGUAAUUAUGGAAGAGGAGGUUUAUCCCACAUGACUGUUGCCGGUUCUCUUUUGCAUGGGUUGAAAGAAGUAUGCAUGCACUUACUCCAUUGAAAAGCCUACUUCGCUUGACACUUUGAGAUGUUUUUAGUAAUACUAAUUUUCUUCUAUGAAAGAGAAUAUCAUAUUAUAAAAUUUUUAUAAUUAAUCAUAUAAAAACCAAACCGCCUAGAAAUUUAUAUGGUUCAAAGAAGCCUUACGUAAUAUACCAACCUUUUUCAGAUUUAGUUUGUGAUGUUUCUUUUGAUAUAUAAUACUGCCUUUUGUAAAUUUGGCUUACUUUCAAAUUUUCACAAAUAGUUAUAAGUUCUGAUUUUAUGUAGUAGGCAAAUUGAAGAUGCUGAAUCACUUUCUAUGGGUUGGAUGUGAUACCUUUUUGGAUUUUCCUUAGGUUGAAGUUUGGCUUCAAACAUUUGCUCCAGGAUCACACACACCAAUCCAUAGGCACUCUUGCGAAGAAGUUUUUGUUGUUCUCAAGGGGAGUGGCACUCUAUAUCUUGCCUCAAGUUCAUAUAAGUAUCCUGGAAAACCAGAGGAGCACUUUAUAUUUUCGAAUAGCACAUUUCAUAUCCCUGUCAAUGAUGUUCACCAGGUAAACUAUUUUCUCAUUAUAAAUGUGAUGAUGUGAAGAAACAUAGAAAUCCCAAAGCAGAGACGAUUUUGACUUCGGGUUAGCCUGUAAUAAUAUGAUGCAGUUUUAUAUUACCUUCUAAAAAUCCUAGGAAGAAUGAAGCAAGAAAACCCAACUAUUUAGAAGAAAAUCUACAUAGGAGCAGCUAAAUUUGAAUAAGUUUCAUCCACUUCCGGCCAUCUAUGUGGAGGAUUGAGAAAUUCAUCAACAAUCCACAUGAUCAGAUUGAUCUUUACUUUCUUUACUCCCAUGCUAUUGAAGAUGUUAAUGUGCCUCUCUAUAAUUGAGUGUCUAACCUCCUUAAUUCUGGAAAACAUUCGCACUAUUGAUGCAAUCGCAAUUUACUAAGUAUAAAUGGUUUCCAUUGAUUUGGAGGACUCUUAAUGUUCUCAGUUUAAAUUAGGUAUGUCCACUAAAUGCAAGUUUGGAGGUUGAACUUGCAUGUCAGUAAAUGUGUUAACACUCUACUAUAUUCUUGAGGUUGAUGAUUUGAUGACUAUAAGAAUUACAAAAUAUUUGAAGGGGAGGGAGGGACACCAUGCACACAAACAGCACUUGGAUGAAUUUCACAGGUUACACACAAACAUGGCACUUUGAUGAAGGUUGCAGAUUAUAAUGUUCCUGCCAAUUUAUCAUUUUGCACCUGCACUCCACCUUCUCAAUUCUCUACUUUUUAUUAUGUCAAAUUGUGUAUGGUAAUCUGUGAAAUGUACAUUCCUCAUUUUCGAUUGUUUGUGAUCAUCUUUACAGGUCUGGAAUACAAAUGAACAUGAGGAUUUGCAAAUGCUUGCAAUAAUAUCUCGCCCUCCUGUCAAAGUGUAUGUAAUUUUUCUUCAGUCCUCUUGCAUCAACAUUUUUGCCAUUGGUUGAUGGAUGUCUUUUAUAUUUCCAUUUUCCGUUAGAAAACCAAGGUUGCUAGCUUUGGCUUCACCCUUCCAAGUGUUUUUUGUUUGAAACAUUUGCAUGGAAUCUUUUGGUGGUUAUUGAUAGUGCAUGCUAGUUUCUAAUGGCAUCUUCCAAACCUUUUAAACAAAUGAACUGAAAGGGAAGCUUUGCCUUGAUUUUUUAUUGUCCUUAAAGCUGCUAUAUUAGAGUACAUCAAGAUGGAAAUUUCCUUGAUACUUAGAAACUUAACUAGCAUUCACUCAUUUAAGAAAAAGGAAGAAGCGGCAGAAGUAGUUAGGAGCUUAAAGGGAAGGCCAUCCAUCGUUCUUUUAAAAGUGCUACUGUUUCUUCCUCGAAAUCUUUUGUAGAUAAGUACAUUAAGACACGAUCCACAUUUCUUUCGCUGAACUUGAUCCAUUUCCAUUAUUAAUUGGUUAAGAACUUAGAUUGAAUGACUGUUUUACCAUAUAUCCAUAUAGUUAUCCUGUAACCAUUGUUUCAUGAUUGCAACCCCCAUCUCAUGAUGUUUCCUGCAUCGUUGAAACUGUUGCUUAAGUUACCAUGUGGUAAAUAGAAUUUACAGAACAAUGUCAAUAUUGGGUAAGGUGGUCCAUCAUUUAACUUGGAAACUGUAUUUUGUCAAAUUUCCUUGUAUGUGCUGCAUGCGCAUACCUUGUUUUCCUUCCCUCCGUCAUGAAUGCUGAGGAUGCUUUCUUUUAUUCAAAUUUGCAUUUAGGUUUAUAUAUGAGGAUUGGUUCAUGCCUCACACUGCAGCUAAGUUGAAGUUUCCAUACUAUUGGGAUGAGCAGUGCCUUCAAGAAACUCAGAAAGAUGAGCUUUAAUUUUUGACGACCCCUUCCCAUUUUACUUAUAACCCGUCAUGGACCCUUCUAUGGUGGAAUCCUAAACUGUUGAUGUCAUUUUCUCGAAUAAGAAUUUGGACAAGAGGAUUAACUGAUUGAACUUUGCAAACAAUGAGCGACAAAGAAGUCCUAAGAUGUUGUAAGUUUUCAUGACAUGUGCGCUGCAUUAGUAUAUAAAAAAUUUUCAACAUGGGAUUUGAUGUUAAGCCAAUGGAAAUUAACUCUGAAUUCAUUGUUUGAUCAUUUGAAAAAGAGAAAAAAAAUAGCAGACUGAAAAUGACCAAGUAUGAAGUAUGAAGUAAAAAUCCGUUGAACAAGGUAAAGAAAUGACAAGGAUAUAUUGAUCGAGCACUAACAUGUUUCAGUUUAUGAUAAAUACUAAAAAGCCACAGUCAACAUCCAUGGCUUAAUUCAGUCAAGAGUCAAUUUUCCAAACUACCUUCUAUAUGAUUUAUUGAGAAAGAUGCCAACAACAUUUAAUAAGCGAUGCUUUAACUGCCAUUCACGAGAGGUAGAUGUAACCGUCCACUCUAGAGAUGAGAAGAUUCCCUGCGUUUUGAGGAAUAAAAAUAUGCCAUCGCCAAUUUACUUCAAAGUGCCUAAGGAAGUUCACAGCAGCAGUACCCUUUUCUGCUCUAAUUUCUACUUAAUCAGAGACUUGUUUGCGCAAAGCACUUUCAACCUUGUCGUGGUAAACUAUGUACCUUUUCAGGUCAGCCUUGUUAAGCUAUACGCAAAGCUUUACAAAUCUGUUUUUGCUUUAACAGAGGCAUGUCUCAGGAACAGAAAUCCUUUAUUCAUGGAUCAUUCAAAUUAAUUAGAGAAUAAAAGCUAAUCCCACUUUUGGUGCGUGGAUGGAAACAUAGAAAAUCUCUCUUCUCAGAAGAAAACAUCAAUUUAACGAAUGUUUACCCCAAUAUCAAAGGAAGUCAGUUUUCUUUCUUUGUUUUUGGGUAUAAUUUGGUUCUUAAUAAGGAAUUAUCUAUGCAUUUUCUUGACCACAUCUUUUACAUAAAAUCAUUCGCUGCCCAAUAAUUUUUUUCCCAUAUUCUCAGUCCUCAAGGUAGGAAUCAAUGCCUAAAAUCAUGCUCAUUUCCAGUGCUUUACAGCCAACCUGCGGAUGUUCUAAGCUUUCUGGCAAAUUUACCUAAUUUGGUCUCCCUAGCUGGCUCUAUAUAUUGUGAGAUAACAAAGGAAAUUACUCGACUAAUUAUUGCAUGGCAAAUCAAAAUUUUGCUGUUCUAUAUCAAUUCUUACUAUAUUUUAUCAAUUUCUUUAAGCAUUUUUAAUAAAUAAAAUAAAAUUAUGUUUAAUAUCCAUCUUUGUUUGAUCUUCAUUUAUAUUUUCCGAUUACUUGCCAGGCAAGCAGGAUUUCUAUUCGGAAAAUAUCUUUUACCUUGACUAAAGUGACUUAAAAACCUUUAUACACAAAAAAUGCAAACAACUUUAAAAUGUAAAUAAAAAUGUCGUUUUUUUUUUUCACCAAAGCAAGGAAAUUAAAUGACAGUCCAAAUUGGAAGGUAUACAGAAACAAGAAAAUUGAAAAACACUCAAACAGGUUUUUUCGGUUUCAGUUUAUUACAUCAAACGGAGUUAAUUUUGGUUUACAGUUGUGUUCUUUCCUGUAUUGUCCUUCCGAGGAUUCUUCUCUUCCUCACAUUCUCUACCAACCUCUCUCCUUCCCAUGUCUUAAUAAAAAUGUUAACAAAGAUUUUCAAUCAUUAGUUCCUUCUAACCUCCUUUCUCCUAAACCUUCUCUUAACCAGCCUUUGCCAAAAUGGCUGCUACUCCCUCUCCUCUUCUCCCCUAAUCCUAUCCCCAUCAUACCCUUUUCAUAAUCUACCAUCAAAGACAGGAUGGCCUCUCUCUCCCUCCUCAGCCUCCUGUCUAUCCUCCUCACCACCACCACCUUUACUUCCACCGCUUUUGCCAUCGGCAUCCGCCAUGGCAUUAUUCGAAAACCUUCUUCGGAUGUUCCAGUCUUCAGGGAGGCCCCAGCUUUUCGCAAUGGGGAUAUUUGUGGGUCUAGUGCCUCCGACAGAAUCCACAUUGCCAUGACACUGGAUGCAAACUACCUCAGGGGCACCAUGGCUGCUGUUCUCUCCAUCCUGCAGCAUUCAACAUGCCCGGAAAAUGUGGAGUUUCAUUUCCUGUGGGGAAAGUACGAGCCUGAUGUGCUUGUAAGCAUCAAUUCAACCUUCCCUUACCUCAGCUUCAGAGUUUACCGAUUUGACUCCAAUCGUGUUCGUGGCAAGAUAUCAAAAUCUAUUCGCCAAGCACUGGACCAACCUUUAAACUAUGCCAGGAUUUACCUAGCUGAUAUACUACCAGCGGAUGUUAAGCGUGUUUUAUACUUGGACUCAGACCUUGUUGUGGUAGACGAUAUUGUGAAACUUUGGGAAGUUGAUUUAGAAGGAAAAGUUUUGGCCGCACCAGAAUAUUGUCAUGCGAAUUUUACAAAGUAUUUCACGGACUUGUUCUGGUCAGACAAGGGUUGGUCUAGUACUUUUGAAGGAAGACAGCCAUGCUAUUUCAACACAGGGGUUAUGGUGGUGGAUGUUGACAAAUGGAGGCAAGGAGGGUAUACGCAGAAAGUGGAGGAGUGGAUGGCUGUGCAAAAGCAGAAGAGGAUAUACACCUUGGGUUCAUUGCCACCUUUUUUGUUGGUGUUAGCUGGGAAUAUAAAAGCUGUUGAUCACAGGUGGAACCAGCAUGGAUUAGGGGGUGAUAAUCUUGAGGGAAAGUGUAGGAGUUUGCAUCCUGGGCCUAUUAGUUUGUUGCAUUGGAGUGGGAAAGGGAAGCCUUGGUUGAGGCUGGACUCAAGGAGGCCCUGCAUUGUUGAUCAUCUUUGGGCACCAUAUGAUCUUUAUGCUUCAUCAAUUCACUCUUUGGAAGAAUAAGGGGAUUGGAUGUGGGGGGAGCCAGGAGUAACUGGUAGAGGGGAGUUUACUUUUUUAGAGGAGAAACAAUGGCAACAACAGGUAAUUAAAAAAUGAGAAAAAGAACAACAAAAAGUUGGAAAUUAAUUUCUUUUUAUUUCUUUUGGUUCUAAGAAUAUAUGGUUGAAUGGAAGGGAGAAAAAACCUUCUCAUUCUAUCAUAUAUUCCGAGAACCAGACUUUGAACUUUGAAAUCUCGAAAGGAAAGGGACAAGAAAAGGAAACGUUACAGAAAUAUUUUGUUUUGAUGUGAAGUUAUACAAGAAAAAAAACCAUUGAGUUCUGACAAAAAGGGUUGGAAAGAGAGGGGUUUGUGUAUUAAUUAACCUUUGCCCUCAACGCCAUGAUUCCUUGAAGGACACUGCAAAAUUAAAAGGAUUAUUAUUGUGUUAUAGAUCAUGGCUGAAGGUUAAUAUGAUAUUAAGCUUUAGCUAGCUAAUCACAGGAUGACCCUUUAUCAGAGUUUCCAUGUAUCUCUGAACUGCUUUUGCCGUACAAUAUUUAUGUUCAAACACGCUGUAGUGGGUUACUCCGUCCAUUUACCCCAACAAUGUGUUGUUCUAUUUCUUUUCCUUUUUUUUUUCUCGCUUUUUGUAUGUUUGCUUGUGCAUCCCUGACCCUUCCUGUAGCAGCUCAUUAUACCCAUAAAAAUCAACUCCGAAACUAACUCAUUUAUCAGUAACAUUGGUUGUCAUGGCUUUUGGCAUAUGAUGGCUAUAAGUAAACUCUGGCAUUUCAAUCUCUAGCAAAAUUACUUGCCAGAUUGUGUGAAAAUAGAUUCAUUACAUGUCUAUUAAGUUCAUAACAAUGAAUUUUUAUUCUAAUCAUUUGUUGACAAUACAAAUAUUGAAAAUCAAGUCAUUUCAAAUUUGAGCAAGUUGGAUUCCUCGUCAAUUUUUGUUUGGGAAAAAAGAAAGGAAAUUGAAACUAUAAAAACAGAGGCCCUUCCCACCUUAUGAACUAAGAUUCUUCCGGUUCCUCCAAGCUGACGUUUCUGCUUAUUCUGUCCCUCGUAUUCUGAAUAAAUAUUUCAGAAAUUUCAUUGAUAUUCAAACCAAAACCUGUAAGCAUCUGUUCUGACGCAUCGGGUUGUAUUGGUGUUGCCUGUUUUGGACUAGGAAAUUUAGUGUCAGCCUUCUUUUUCUUCUCUUUCUCCCUUGUACUAUCAAUUAUAGGAAUAAUGACCUUUGGACCUGUUGAUCCUUCACCUUGACUACGAACUUCAGUUUUCCCUUGGACUUGAGGUUUAGUAGUGCCAACUGAAAUUCCAUUUAGCAGUGGGAUCUUCUUCUUCCCCGACGGAUCAGUGAAUUCGUUCCUCUUCUCCAUUGCUUUGUCAUCUUUCGCUGCUACAUAGGCAGAUGAACCAAGCUUGUCAACAGGAGUCCAAUAGUCCAGCUCUUCUGUUUGCUUGAAUUGAAUCUUAACGACAUAAUCCGAAUCAUCCUUAAGCGUUGUGUUCGCCCUUUCCUCUCUAUCCGGUUUGGCGUGGCUUAUGAGAGGUUCUUGCACUCCAUUCCUUGCAUAUCCAUCUAGUUCCCCUUGAUUGGUUGAAUCCUGGGGUAUAUGGUGACCCAAGGUUACACGUUUCAGGCCUCUAGCAAUGAGGCCGUUCAUGAUAAAGGUGAAGAGCCUCUGGCAAAUGCCAAUGCGCCGAAAAUUGUUUUCCUUUUUGUGCAUCGCUUGGAUGAAACCGAAAGAGUCACCCACAGUAGGAACAAAUGCAGCUGGAUGGUGAAAAUAGGAAGCAGGAGAGCUUCUAUUUAAACACGUGUCUUACCUUGCUUGAAUGAUUCCAUGCUUGGCAUUUGGGUAACAAAAAGAAAGAAUGUGAUUUCCGUGGGAGGCUGGAAUAACUGGAAGCAUUGUCAUCUCUUUUAAUCCCAAAGAUUUCUUAGUUUUUAACCUGCUGUAGUGAAAAGCAAAAACAGUUUGCAUUGCAAGCAUAAGCAAAUUUCCUGGAUUCCUGGAAAUGGAAUUCUACUUUGCUUGAAGUUAAUUUAUUCCUAAACAGUAACAGCAUUACCAAGGGAACUUGCUGAUUGGUGGAUGCAGCAGAAAUAGAUUAAGGUACCUUGUAAAGAGAAGCUUUUACUCAGAUGCUUUGUAACAACAGGGCAAUAAGAUAUUCCUUCCAUACUCCAUUCAAACACAGCUAUGGAAUAAAGCUGAUUGAGACUUUGAUUUUUUAUGCAUAUAAAGAAUCUUCCCCUGACCCUUCAAUUUGAAUAUGCAUUAGCUUCUUUUAAAGUAUUUUCACUGUCAUAUACAAAAUGAAUGGUUAUUUGCAUGUGAAAAAAAAAAGCAUAAAUUCAUAAAAAGGAGAAAACAAAAUGGAGAAACUAAUUGGUGUCUGUUUCACAUACAACAGAAAUUAAAAUCAACUUUCUUUUACUAUAAAUUCGUUGCAAAAUUCGAUAAGAAAAAAAUGGAUUAGAGCUCGGAUGAUCAAAGCAAAUGACGAGAAACCAAAGCAGCAAGGAUCAGAGUUCGGUUCAUUUUCUCACGCUUAGAUGGAUCAAAGCUUUGAUCUUAUCAUUAAGGCUUAAUGCCAUUCUGUAUUCAAUCAUGUAUUGGUAAUGUAGUUUGGUUAGAAAAGUAGAUAAGGACUAUAAAUUUAAAUGCAGCUGAGAUUACAUUACAUAAAGAUUACAGCUAAUUCAAAUAUAACAACCUAAUCGAGAUGCAUUCUCAUCUUCUAAAGUUCUGGAUCUUUGAUUAUAUUAGCUAAUCUAUUAUCUAUUUUUUAUUUGAAAUCCUGUUUUCCUCUUGCAGAAGAGAAGAGUUUGUGAAACAGUUAUGCCAAGUAGAGCUUGUAUCCCCCUCCACUCAUUUUUUAUUUUCAUGUUAAUUUGUUUUUUAGUAUAAUAGAACAAAAUUUGUAAGUGUUGAGACCGAAAUCUAGUAAGAUAUAUAGAGGAUAGUUUUAUUAAAUAAAAUUUUAUAUAUUUUUUUUUAUAUUUAAAGUUUUUAUCAUUUAAUCCUUAAUUAUUAAAAUAAAAAUUUAAAAAUUUUAUCAACAAAUUAAUAUUAUACCGCUUUGAAAAAUACCGCUCAUAACUUAAUUAUUUCGUGUUGUUGAUAUUGAGAUAAAUCUGUCAUAUACAAGUUUUGAAAAGGAGUAGAUUUUAUUGGGGGAAUACUAACAAAAACACUGUAGAAUUGAAAACUAUGAAAAUAUAUAAGAUUAGUAAAAUUCCAAGUUAGUAUAUGAAAUGAGACUCCUUUUUUUUUUCCCCAAAAGAAUGUAAUGAGGCAGGUUCAUUGUUUAUUUGUAGGAAAACAAAUGGGAAAAGAGCCAAAGGUGUCUAGAAUUGAACCGGUCCGGUUCACCAGCAAAACUAACCUGAAAUAGACCCUCCAUCCCUUUUGGAUGCGCGCUUCGCACCAAUGAUUUCAUUAUGGUAGCGGAAAACAAACUUGACAAAAAGCUUCGGUCUUUUUUUCCCUGAAUUUAUCCGUAAUUUUCGUUUCCCUUUCAUUUCACAUCCUCUUGAAAAAAACCCCCAAAUCUCAAUCAAUUCUUAACCUCACCCGGAAAGCCCUAAAUUUUCUUCAUGGAUUUCUUCAAAUCAGUUUUCGCGGACGAUCCAGAUCCUCCUAAACCCCAAUCCCAACCCCAUUCCGAUUCCCCCAAAGCCGACGACUUUACCCCUGAUUCCUCUCCUAAACAGCCCGAUCCCAACCCUAACCCUACCGGAUGGAGCUUCGGCGGUCUGAUCAAAACGAUAGCAACAAGAUCCGAAUCCGUAAUCGAAACCUACCGUCGCGAUCUCAAGGAAUUCGGGUCGGGUUUAAAAAAAGAAAUUGAGGUAGCCCAGGGCUCGUUAGAGAACGUAGGGCACGUCAUUGAUGAGUUCGGGAACACUGUUAUAAAGGGAACGGCUCAGAUCAUCACUCAAGGCAAGGAUGCAAUACUAGCUGUCGAUAACGAAUCAGAUUCCUCUGCCUCUGAAAGCAAUGGCAAGAGUUUGAGUACUCAACGGAGUUUGAACUCAAAACGGUACAGUCGAUUGGAUGCUCAAGUAAGGGCAAUCCAAGGAGAUAUUAAUACUUACAGUGAAGAGCCAGAGGAUUUGGAGGAUUAUAAGAAGUGGAAAUCAGGGUUCGGUUUGGAAGAGAAGAAGGAAGAGAUUGAGAGAUUGAUGGAAGAGAAUGGGGAAAUAGGGAGCAUUUAUAAAAAGGUUGUUGGUGUUUCAAAUGGGGUUGAUCAUGAGACGUUUUGGGGUAGGUACUUCUAUAGGGUUUUUAAGCUUAAGCGAGCUGAGGAUACGAGGGUUAAGCUUGUAAAGAGAGCGAUUUCAAGGGAAGAAGAGGAGGAGUUGAGUUGGGAUGUUGAUGAGGAUGAGGAUGAGAGAAAUGUGGUGUGGAAGGCGACUUUAAAGAAAGAAGAUGUGGAUAGGAAAGAAAAAGAUGAAACUGUGGAAGAGAAGGCAGUGAAUUUGGGACCUAAAGGUGAUUUUUUGGAGAAUAAGGAGCAAGUUGAGAAGGUAAAGGAGAAGAAUCCUGUUGAGGAACUGGACAGUUAUGAUUCAAAUAAACAAGGGAAGGGAAAUGAUGAUGAAUCAAGUGGUGGCAAUGUGGUGACUGAGAAAGUUAAUUUGGAGAAGAAUGAGGAGGCAUGCAAGGAAGGUUCGGUGUCGAAAUCUGUUGAGAAAGUAGUUUCUGAAGGGAAAGGCGACAAUGAGGAGUCUAGUAAUGGCAAUGGUAAAGACAGUGACUUUUCAGUGGUGUCAAGCCAUCCAUCAAUGCCUGAGGAGGACGAUCUUGGGUGGGAUGAAAUUGAGGAUCUCAGCAGCAUUGAUGAUAAGAAAGGGACUCAUGCUGGGAGCCCGCGCUCCAAUAGGGCUGAUCUGAGAAAACGACUAAGUACUGCAGAAGAAGAGGAGGAUUUGAGCUGGGAUAUUGAAGAUGAUGACGAACCGGUUAAAGCUUGAUGAAAAAUGUAAAGUUUCAUCUGAAAUUAUUGAUAUUUAUUUCUCAUAGAAUUUAUUGCAUUCUACUGUAUCUUUUUCAUUGUGUUCCUUAUAUUUGUCCCCUGCAAGUGUUAUAUAAUGGGGAGGAUUCAUUUUCCUUUUUGUUUGAAAUGCAAAUAUCUUCUAUGAUUGUGUACUUUUAACACUUAAUUGAAAUGAAAUUGAAGCAGCAAUGUUCAUACUAAAACUGCUUUUAUUCAUCUACAGAGCCAAUUUACUAACCUGGAUGUUGAUUUUUUCUUUCUGGCCAACAAACAAAACCUGGAUAUCGAUCGACUGAGAUUAGCAUAUUGAUAUUAUCUUGAACAUUAGGCUUUCAAAUUUAUUAACGGCAUCUGCUAUGGCAUUUCGGAAACCACAUCGAUCGUCUUUUUCUAUAAGCUACUCGCACAUAGCAGAAAUGAAUGCGUACCUGUGCAAUUUCAAAAGCUGCUAAACAGACAUCUAUGGGGUAAUAAUAAUACGAGGAUCUACUGCGUGUUUGCUUUGCUGCUGAUCAACUCUGAGGGUUGAACAAAUUAGCUUUCUGUGUAGAAAGAAGUUAGUUGAAAAUGCUUUUAACAUAUGGCUCUCGUUUACUUGGUGGUUUAGGAACUAUAAUCAUAAUAUAUAUCAUUGAAGCAGAAAAAAGAAAGGGAAGAAUGUUCUGUUUAUUCCUUCUAAUUUUAAGAUGAAUAUCGAAGCAUGCUGUACAUCUGGACCGGAAGGUAUGAUGUUUUCCGCAAUAGGGGAGUCUUUGAUUAUGAGAUAACCUAAUUUUUGUCAACUUAAAGCAAAAUUCACCAUUUACUAUCUUUCCAUUUUCUUGCUUUCUUCAUUUCUACUGUGGUAUGUCAAAUUAACAGGGCACAGAACUAAGGUAGGGAAGGAACACUUCCGGGAUUUGAGGAUCCUACUUCAGAUAAUAAAGGCUUUCGACUCUGCGAAAAUUCGAAUGUUCAAACCUGACUAAGGUAAGAAAGAACAGAAACGUCAGUUCUUUAGAUAUACAUAAAUUUUUUUAAGUGAAGAUUGUGACUAAUAUGGUCUGAACUGAACCUCAAGGAAAAGCAAUAAGGUUCAAUUUAACAUUUACGGGCAUUUUGUCUAUAUCCUAGUCAACAAAGAACUUGGUGGUAAAGAUACACAUAAUUGGUAACCAUGGUAACCACAAACUAAUACUAUCUAUCUGUCUGUAAAAGAGAUUAAUAUAAAUGACUUAAUAGCUUAAUACAAAAUUCAGCCCUUCAGUAGAGCUAAUUCACACUCCAACUUAAAGCACAACUAUCUCUAAAGCCCUACCAUGACAUUCAACAAGUAUGGUGACAACUGCUAGAACCGAACCUUGCUGCGGGAAAGGAAAAAAAAAAAAAGUGAAGGGAAAAAACAAACUCUUACAGCAUUUGAGCCGCAUUUGUACAGUAAGUAAAAGAUCUUCGAGAGCAAGAAGUGCGCAUGAGACAAUUCAUAUUGCUUUGGCCCUGGGGCUGCCUUAAGCUUAAAUUAUACCGAUUUCACCUCAAUAUUUGAUGCCUGGUUUAGAAGUAGACUCUGCUACAUGUGUUUCAACAGGAGAAGGUAAUGCUAGCAUUCUUCCUUUUUGGGCUCGUGGUGGAAGGUGCUUGGUAGGCUUUCUUGAUCCCAUAGUCCAAGGCAAGAAGACCCCUGUACCGCCAUGAGGUUGUUUUCUGGGGCUCACUGCCAUUGGGUGCACGGGCACAGGAGCAAGCAUGACAACAGGACCGCGGAGGACUCCCCAUUUUGGCAUCAUAUCCAGUGCCUCAUAGCCAUUAAGAGCUCCAUUUGACAUUGCAUAAGGACCUGGGACACCUGGCUGCCACAGUGUCAUGGCACCAGCCUGGGGGGUAGUUGGUGGUGACUGACCUUGGUUGGUAUCAGGCCGAACUCGGAAGAAUGUAAUGCUGACCCUCUUGCUUGGAGAUGGGCACAUGACAUGUCUAGCCAUGUCAGAACUGUUUCCCCUCAUAACUAAAAGAGACCUGCAGAAUAGCAGUAAUAUGUUACAAACUUGCUUGUCAAGUAAGAGUCAGUACCCUAAAAAACACAAGGUAUAUUAUUAAGAAGGGAGAGAACCAAAAAUGAAGGAUAAAAUUUAGAGAUGCUAUUCCUUUGUCUUCAAAACAAGUUUCCUGCUCAGUUUACUACAUUGACAUCACAAAUUCUGGCACAAUUUAAAAGGAGGAAGAGAAAAGAAAAAUCGAAAGGAGAAAAGUGGAGAAAUUAGUGCAAAUGCAAAUGUUCUAAGAAGAUUUUUAGCUUUCAACUUCCUACUCUAACGCACUGUGUGAUAAAUAUGAUUGUUUUAAGAUUUUGUUGCAACCAAAACAUCACGGAAGUGGUGGAAAGCAACAUUUUUAAAUGA